CACUGUACAGCAAGGGGGUCAGGUCAUCCUUAGAUGUAUACAUUGCAGUUACAGUUUUUUCCCCCACCCUUUCUUCUGUUGCGAUGGAGCUGAUUCUUAUCCCUCUGGUGGCUGGGGCUUUGUCUUUGGGUGAGAUUAGAGGUGGCUGUGUGCCUGAGGGUCUUUAGGAAGUCUAUUUACUGAUGGAUGGGGUGGUGGGCUAUGUUCCCACCCAGAUUAUUAUUUGGCCUGGGGCUUCUUUCUCAGUCCUGAUGGGUGGGACCAGAUUUCUCCAAAAUGGCCACCUCUAGAAGAAAACACGCUGAUGCUUAUUUCAGAGACAUUUGCCUCCAAUGUCCUUCCCCCACAAUGAGACACAGAUAUCCCCUGUUUCCCCAGGAGAUCCUCCAAGCAGUACAGUAAGGUCUGACCCAGAUUCCUAUGGAGUCUCUGCUUUGCCCUGGAACCCAGUACAUAUGAAAGCCUGUGUGAACUUUUUCAGGAAUGGGGUCUCCAUUUCCCCCAGUCCUGUGGAGCUCCUGUGCACAAGCCCCACUGGCCUUCAAGGCCAGAUGCUCUGGGGGCUCUUUCUCCCAGUGCCAGAUCCCGAGGAGUGGGAACCUGACAUGGGGCUCAGAACUCUCACUCCUGCAGGUGAGUCUCUGUGAUACAGUUACUUUCCAGUCUGUUGGCUGCCUACCUGGUGGUUAUGGGGUUGCUUAUAUCAUGUAAUCGCCCCUCCUACCAUCUUGAUGUGGCCUCCUCUUUGUCUUCUGGAGCAGCAUAUUUUUUUUGAUAGUUUUCAGUCUAUUUGGUUGAAGGUCGUUCAGCAGUUCAUUGUAAUUUUGCUGCUUUUAUAAGAGGUGAGCUCUACUCCUGAUCCCAUGAUUAAAAAAAACUUUAUGACUUUUACUUUUUCUGUUAUAGUUGGUUACAGUGUUCUGUCAAUUUCUACUAUACAGCAAAGUGACCCAGUCAUAUAUAUAUAUAUAUUCUUUUUCUCACAUCAUCCUCAAUCAUGUUCCAUCACAAGUGACUAGAUAUAACUCCCUGUGCUAUACUCUAGGAUCUCAUUGCUUAUCCAUUCCAAAUGCAAUAUUUUGCUAAACUCCCAGUCCAUCCCACUCCCUCUCCCUCCCCCUUGUCAAUCGCAAGUCUGUUCUUCAAGUCCAUGAGUUUCUUUUCUAUGGAAAGUUUCAUUUGUUCUGUAUAUUAGCUUCCAGAUAUAAGUGAUAUCAUAGGGUGUUUGUCUUUCUCUUUCUGACUUACUUCACUUGGUAUGAGAGUCUCUAGGUCCAUCCAUAUUGCUACAAAUGGCAUUACUUUAUUUUUUUAUGGCUGAGUAGUAUUCCACUGUGUACCUAUACCACAUCUUCUUUAUCCAAUCAGCUGUUGAUAGACAUUUAGUUUGUUCCCACAUCUUGGCUAUCAUGAACAGUGAUGCAAUGAAGGUACGGGCGCAUGUGUCUUUUUCAAGGAAAGUUUUGUCUGGAUAUAUGCCCGGGAGUGGGACUGUUGGUUCAUAUGGUGGUUCUAUAUUCAGUUUUUUGAGGUACCUCCAUAUUGUUUUCCAUAGUGGUUGUACCAAUUUACAUUCCCACCAACAGUGUAGGAGGGUACUCUUUUUCUCUAUACCCUCUCCAGCCUUUAUUUGUUGAAUUGUUAAUGAUGGCCAUUCUGACAAACUCAUAGUAGUUUUGAUUUGCACUUCUCUAAUAAUCAGUAAUGUUGAGCAUUUUUUCAUGUGCUUGUUGGCCAUCUGUACAUCUUCUUUGGAGAAAUGUCUAUUCAGGUCUUUUGCCCAUUUUUCAAUUGGAUUGUUUGUUUUUUUUUUUAUGUUGAGUUGUAUAAGUUGUUUGUAUAGAGAUUAAGCUCUUGUCAGUUACAUUGUUUGAAACUAUUUUCUCCCAUUCUGUAGGUUGUCUUUUUUUUUUUUUUUUUUUUUUAAUGGUUUCCUUGGCUGUGCAAAAGCUUGUCAGUUUGAUUAGGUCCCAUUGGGAGAUAUUUGCUUUUAUUUCUGUUGCCUUGGGAGACUGACCUAAGGAAAACAUUUUUAAGGUUGAUGUUAGAGAAUGUUUUGCCUAUGUUUUCUUUUAGGAGUUUGAUGGUAUCUUAUGUCUAAGUCAUUAAGCCAUUUUGAGUUUAUUUUUGUGCAUGGUGUGAGGGUGUGUUCUAGUUUCUUUGAUUUACAUGCAGCUGUCCAGUUUUCCCAGCACCACUUUCUGAAAAGACUGGCUUUUCCUCAUUUUAUAUUCUUGCCUCCUUUGCUGAAUAUUAACUGACCAUAGGUGUCUGGGUUUAUUUCUGGGUUCUCUAUUCUAUUCCAUUGGUCUGUAUGUCUGUUUUGGUAUCGUACUACACUGUCUUGGUUACUGUGGCUUUGUAGUAUUGCCUGAAGUCUGGGAGAAUUAUGCCUCCUGCUUGGUUUUUGUUCCUUAGGAUUGCUUUGGCAAUUCUGGGUCUUUUAUGAUUCCAUAUAAAUUUUUGGAUUGUUUGUUCUAGUUCUGUGAAAAAUGUCAUGGGUAAUUUGAUAGGGAUUUCAUUGACUCUGUAGAUUGCUUUGGGUAGUAUGGCCAUUUUUACAAUAUUAAUUCUUCCAACCUGGGAGCAUGGAAUAUCUUUCCAUUUCUUUGAAUUCUCUUUAAUUUCCUUGAUUAAUGUAUUAUAGUUCUCAGCAUAUAAGUCUUCUACCUCCUUGGUCAGGUUUAUUCCUAGGUAUUUAAUUUUUUCGGGUGUGAUUUUUAAAAGGUGUCAUAUUUUUGUAUUCCUUUUCUAAUGUUUCAUUGUUAGUAUACAGAAAUGCAGCUGAUUUCUUAGUAUUAAUCUUAUAUCCUGCUACUUUGCUGAAUUCGUUGAUCAGUUCUAAUAGUUUUUGUGUGGAGUUCCUAGGGUUUUCUAUAUAUAGUAUCAUGUCAUGUGUAUAGAGUGACAGUUUUACCUCUUCUCUGCCAAUUUGGAUACAUUUUAUUUCAUUUGUCUGAUAGCUGUGGCUAGGACUUCCAAUACUAUGUUGAAUAACAGUGGUGAGAGUGGGCAUUCUUGUCUUGUUCCAGAUUUUAGCAGGAAGGCAUUCAGAUUUUCUCCACUGAGUAUUAAAUUUGCUGUGGGUUUGCCAUAAGUGGCUUUUAUUAUGUUAUGUCCCCUCUGUACCCACUUUGGUGAGAGUUUUUAUCAUGAAUGGAUGUUGGACUUUGUCAAAUGCUUUUUCUGCAUCUAUUGAGAUGCUCAUGUGGUUUUUGACUUUGCUUUUGUUAAUGUGGUGUAUGGUGUUGAUUGAUUUGUGUAUGUUGAACCCUCCUUGUGAACCUGGGGUAAAUCCCACUUGGUUGUGCUGUAUGAUCUUUUUUAUAUGUUUCUGGAUUUGGUUGGCUAAAAUUUUGUUCAGAAUUUUUGCAUCUAUAUUCAUCAAAGAUAUUGGCCUAUAGUUUUCUUUUUUGGUGGUAUCUUUGUCUGGUUUUGGAAUUAGGGUGAUGGUGGCGUCAUAGAAUGUCUUUGGAAGUGUUCCUUCUUCUUCAGCCUUUUGGAAAAGUUUAAGAAAGAUGGGUAUUAAGUUAUUCUUUGUAUGUUCGAUAGAAUUCACCUGUGAAGCCAUCUGGUCCUGGAUUUUUGUUUGUAGGGUGUGUUUUUAUUACAUAUUUGAUUUUAUUUCUAGUUAUUGUUCUGUUCAGUUAAUAUAUUUCUUCUUGAUUUAGUUUUGGUGGGCCGAAAUCCUCUAGAAAGUUGUCCAUUUUUUUUAGGUUGUCAAAUUUGUUGGCAUAUAAUUGUUCAUAGUAUUCUCUUAUGGUUUUUUUUUUGUACUUCUGCAAUAUCCAUUGAGAUUUCUCCUUUUUCAUUUCUUAUUUAUUUGGGUUCUUUCUCUCCUCUUCUUGGUGAGUCUGGCCAGAGGUUUGUCAAUUUUGCUUACCCUUCACAGAACCAGCUCUUGGUUUAAUUAAUUUUUUCUAUUUUUUUUGAAACUCUAUUUUAUUGAUUUCCUCUCUGAUCUUUAUGAUUCCCUUCCUUCUGCUGACUUUAGGUUUUAUUUGUUCUUCUUUUUCUAACUAAUCCCAUGAUUUCUACAGCCUGGGGCUGCUCCUUCCUUGAGGAUCUGAACAGUGGUCCUCUUCAGCCUCUACCCAAUGUCCUAUUUGAAACUCAGGGACAUAAGGACCUUUCCCAGAACAUUACCUUCUUCCUCUGUUUGUCUCAGGUAUACAUUUUCUUAAAAUAUGGAGGGACACUGUACAGAACUCAUCCAACAGAGGUUUCUUUCAAUCAUUGUCAAGAACUUUUCUCUAAAUAGGCUUUGGUAAUAUUGUGCAAUUCUUACAAAUUUUCCUGAAAGAAUGCUGGUUGUAAUUUUGUAUAUUUUGAGCUCUUUGUCCAAAUGGCUGGAUUUGUGGUCUGCUUUUGAAAGAUUCUGCUGUAUGUUUCUUUGCAGAUACAUUCCCUCUAAAAUGGGUUAGGUAUCUAGUGAACAUUUUAUUUUUCCUGAUAUAAUUCAAGGAGGAAUUUAAGUUUCCACUGGAGCUGUGAUAUGUCCCUUUCUAUCUGUGCUUUUUUUUUCUGACUUCAGUGAAGCUUUCCCAGUUUGGAGACAUUUUUAUGAAAGUUAAGGACACCAAUUGUCUCAUGUUCCUUAGUUCAGUUAGCAUGCAAUUGGUUUCUUUCCUUUUUUCAAGAGUUGAUAAAUAGGUAUUUCUUUUGGCAACAUCACUUAUUGUCUUCAAAACCCCGUUUGGUUUUUCAUCCCUGUGGUCUCUGUUUGGUGGUGAACUUGUUACAUCCAAUUCUAAGCUCCCAGUAUCCACAUGUCUUCUUCAGGAGCAGGUGCCCAAUCCCCCAUCUUUCUGUGUUCACCCAGAAGCUUGAUAUGGCUUUUUAAGAAGAGUUUUGUAAUAUUUUUUUAUUUCAUAUUAUAAAUGAGUGUGCAUUCUCCUGUAUACUCAUUCGGCUGUUCUUGAAAACAGUGUUAGUCUUCCUUGAAGAUGAGAAUUUUCCUCCAGAGCAUUUUAUGAGAUCCCUGAAUUCCUUCUCCAUUUUCCCAAUGGGUUUUAAGUCUGUAACAGUAGCAACUGCCUGACUUUUUAUGUCCUAUGCUGUACCUUGUAAAGACGAUUUUUCUGGCAAUGUCAGCCAUAAUUCAGCUUGUUUUAUAUUUUGAGAUUUUUCUUUUGGUAGCUUUUGGAACAUCCACUUUACAUCUAAGAAAAGGGUUAAAUGUUCCUAGGUCUUUAUUAAUGGCCUCCAAUUUCCUUUUUUUUUUUUUUUUUUUUUUUGGUCUCCAAUUUUCUUAUUGGGGAUACUGUAGCUUCUCAAAGGCGUUCCACUGAAGUUGACUUGAGCCCUUCAAAUUCAGUAACGUUUUUUAAAUAAUUGGUUUACAGUGUUCUGUCAAUUUCUGCUGUACAGCAAAGUGACCCAGUUAUACAUGCAUAUAUAUUCUUUUUCUCAUUAUCUUUCAUCCUGUUCUGUCAUAAAUGAUUGGAUAUAGUUCCCUGUGCUAUACAGCAAGACCUCAUUGCUUAUCCAUUCUAAAUGUAAUAGUUUGCAACCACUAUAGUUUGCAACCCCAAACUCCAAGCAGAUUAAUUUUCAGUUAAGCAAACCUCUAAGACAUAUUGUCUUUCCUCCAGAGGGGCAGAAUCUCCAGUGUCUAGAUCGUCUCUAUUUGAAUGAAGACACACCUUGAUAAUGACCAUUCUGAUCACGACCAUCGUGACUGCCACAGAAUAUAGCAAUGAGUGGAGAGCUGGGUCUGGUGUAAGGUCCCUGAAGUGCUGUUCCUGACUAGCUCUACAUGUCCAGGUCCAGCAGGACACAGCAUCAUGAAUACUAUUGUGACGCCUCAUGUCUAGAACACUGCUGGUCAUAGUAGACUUUGGAGAACUUUCAGAGCAUCAUGCCUAGAACCACACCAGGUACCUGGCAACCAGGUGAGGUGAGGGAGAGGGACAAAUAGAGUCAACCCUGGCCAAUG
rnacentral:lncRNA from 1 species